rnacentral:tRNA from 2 species
GGGGGUGUAGCUCAGUGGUAGAGCGCAUGCUUUGCAUGCAUGAGGCCCUGGGUUCGAUGCCCAGCACCUCCA